rnacentral:rRNA from 1 species
GACGAACGCUGGCGGCGUGCCUAACACAUGCAAGUCGAACGGACAUUAAUUUUUCGGAAUUGAUGUUAGUGGCGGACGGGUGAGUAACGCGUGAGCAACCUGCCUUUCAGAGGGGGAUAACGUAUGGAAACGUACGCUAAUACCGCAUGACAUAUAUUUGCCGCAUGGCAGAUAUAUCAAAGGAGCAAUCCGCUGAGAGAUGGGCUCGCGUCCGAUUAGAUAGUUGGUGGGGUAACGGCCUACCAAGUCAGCGAUCGGUAGCCGGACUGAGAGGUUGAACGGCCACAUUGGGACUGAGACACGGCCCAGACUCCUACGGGAGGCAGCAGUGGGGGAUAUUGCACAAUGGGCGAAAGCCUGAUGCAGCAACGCCGCGUGAGGGAAGGACGGUUUUCGGUAGUUGUUAAACCUACCUGUCUUUGGUUGACGAAACAAAUAGACGGUAGGCCAACGGAGGAAGGACCACGGCGUAACCAACCGUGCCACGCAGCCGCCGGUAAGUACGUAG